rnacentral:rRNA from 1 species
AUUGAACGCUGGCGGCAUGCCUUACACAUGCAAGUCGAACGGCAGCACGGGUGCUUGCCCCUGGUGGCGAGUGGCGAACGGGUGAGUAAUACAUCGGAACAUGUCCUGUAGUGGGGGAUAGCCCGGCGAAAGCCGGAUUAAUACCGCAUACGAUCUACGGAUGAAAGCGGGGGACCUUCGGGCCUCGCGCGAUAGGGUUGGCCGAUGGCUGAUUAGCUAGUUGGUGGGGUAAAGGCCUACCAAGGCGACGAGCAGUAGCUGGUCUGAGAGGACGACCAGCCACACUGGGACUGAGACACGGCCCAGACUCCUACGGGAGGCAGCAGUGGGGAAUUUUGGACAAUGGGCGAAAGCCUGAUCCAGCAAUGCCGCGUGUGUGAAGAAGGCCUUCGGGUUGUAAAGCACUUUUGUCCGGAAAGAACUCCUUGGCUCUAAUACAGUCGGGGGAUGACGGUACCGGAAGAAUAAGCACCGGCUAACUACGUG